rnacentral:misc_RNA from 1 species
GAAAUGCGAUAAGUAAUGUGAAUUGCAGAAUUCAGUGAAUCAUCGAAUCUUUGAACGCACAUUGCGACCGCCAGUAUUCUGGCGGGCAUGCCUGUUCGAGCGUCAUUACAACCCUCAGGCCCCCGGGCCUGGCGUUGGGGAUCGGCGGAAGCCCCCUGCGGGCACAACGCCGUCCCCCAAAUACAGUGGCGGUCCCGCCGCAGCUUCCAUUGCGUAGUAGCUAACACCUCGCAACUGGAGAGCGGCGCGGCCACGCCGUAAAACACCCAACUUCUGAAUGUUGACCUCGAAUCAGGUAGGAAUACCCGCUGAACUUAAGC